CAGGAUGCCCUGGAACGAGGGGCUUCUGUGGUCCGUGCAGUGUGCCACGCCGAGGAGAGGGCCCCAGGAGCGGCUGGAGCGUCUUGGUUCCGGCUGCCAUUCUGCUCUUUGUCCCGCCUUCCUGAUGUUACCUAGAAAAACCAGCUCGUCCAAGAGGCAGAGCUGGGAGUCCAAGCCGAUGGCCAAGGGCCUGAUGGCUCUCCAGACCAUGGCCGGCCGGGACAGCCGGAACCUGGAGGAGAGACUGUGCCGAGCCCAGCGCCACCUCAGGCUGCCCGAGGUCGUCCCCAGCCACCCCUGGAAGAUGGACGGUCUCACGGCGCCCACUCUGCAGAGUAAACUGGACCUGGAGAGCCCCACCAGCCUCACGCCCGCCCCUGAGGAGCAGGGGAUGGAGUUGAGCCUGCGGCCUGGCUGCCCGCAGUUCCACACCAGAGCCACGUCCACGUCCCAGCUCGAUUCUGCCACCAUGCUGGCCCUCCCCAGGGAGGAGUGCAUCGGCCCGGAGGCCAGGAGGACGGAGGACCCGCUCCUGGGAGGACGCGUCCUGGACAUGAGUGUGGACGGCCGCCCCCUGCCGUCCAGCAAGAGCCUCUGUGAGCUGAGUUACUUGUGGAGGUGCAAGGAGUCCCAGACCCGGAGUCCCAGCAGCAGCAGCCUGCAGGCAGCCCAGAGCCCCCAGCCCAGGAGGGUGCCCUGGUACAUCUCGGUCAUCCUGGAGAAGGACCGCCGCCUGCGCCGGCUGGAAGCCGAGAUCCAGCGCCUCUCCAGGCUGGAGACCCAGGUCCGGAAGAAGGAGGAGGAGCUCCUGGCGCUGCAGGAGGAGAAGGAGGCCCUGAGGAGGCAGCUGAAGGGGCUGCUCCGGAGCAGGGGCCCCGAGGCGGCCCCGUCCCCUCCCAGGAGGGGGCGGCCCUCGGAAGCCACGCUGAAGCUGGGCAGGCUGAGCAUCCUCAAGGCCCUGGACAGGGACGAGGAGGAGCCGCAGCCGCGCACUGAGACGCAGGAGGAGAGCUCAGCGCCGCCGGCCGCCCAGGAGCCGGGGCUGGAGGGCGUCAAGGAGGAGGAAGUCCCGGAGCCGGGGCCUGAGCCGGCGGAGCUCAGGAGACUCAGGAACCAGGCGGGCCAGCAGGGGGCUGCGCAGGAGAAGGCCCGCGAGGGAGAGGAGGAGGAGGAGGAGGAAGAGGGGGAGGAGGAGGAGGAGGUGGAGGAGGAGGAGAGGGAGCUGACGGAGGAGGAGGAGGACGUCUUCAGGUACCAGGCGUACUCCCUGACCGACACCUUCGAGGAGGAGCUCAUGGCCCAGCUGGAGGAGUACGAGCUGGCUAUCCUGGAGUUCCAGCGCGAGCUGGAGCUCACCAGGAGCAAGCACUCCCUGGCCACAGGAGCCAUCACGUGUCUGCAGCGCCAGAUGGAUUUCCAGGAGUCCCGGAUGCGAAAGAUGCACAUGGAGAACGAGGCGCUGCAGAAGGAGCUCCGGGAACGACGCCAGCAGCUGCAGGCCAUGUCCGCCAAGGUGGCUGCGCGCACACGAACCGCCGGCCGCCGCGGCUCGGGGAGGCACCGCCCGAGGGACGCUCUGAGCUCGGGGUGCGAGGCGGCUGGCCCAGGGGCCCACCCGGCUGCCGGGAGGCUGAGCCCCACGAGCCCGGCCACAGCUCUGCACCGCCUCCUGCCAGAACGUUUGUCCCUGGGCGGCCCCUGGCCCCCUGCGUGCUCGGGGGGGGGGGGGGCUGCUAACUCACGGUGCUGCUGACCCACGGCGCCGCUGACCCACGGUGCUGCUGACCCACGGCGCUGCUGACCCACGGCGCUGCUAACCCAUGGCGCUGCUAACCCAUGGCGCUGCUAACCCACGGUGCUGCUGACCCACGGUGCUGCUGACCCACGGUGCUGCUAACCCACGGCGCUGCUGACCCACAGCGCUGCUGACCCACGGUGCUGCUGACCCACGGCGCUGCUGACCCACGGCGCUGCUGACCCACGGCGCCUGCUUGCUUUGUUCUGCUAAGCAUCUGUAGUUGUUUCGAAGUCGCUUUCCUAAUCGUCUGAAGAGUCGGAUCCCCCCCAAGGCCUGUCUAUCGUGACCCCUCCCUUCCGCUGCUCCUCCCCCACGGCCACUGCUCUCAGUUCUUCUAGAAGGUUCUUCAGGGCUCUCUCUCCAUAUCCGGAAGUGGCGUGCUCAGAACACCAUUCUAGAUUUUUCCGCAUCUUCCCUCUUUCCUCCCCUCCACGCCCCUCCCAGCGUUGCUGCAUCGCAUCCGCGGGAUCGGUGCGCGUCUCGCCAGGACACGGAGCCACACGCCUGUAACUGAAGCCAACGCUCUGAGAAGCGACACUAACAUUCAUUACAGAGUUGUGGCUUUCCAAGAUUUAUUUAUUUACUCUGAAGGCCAGAGUUACAGAGAGAGGGAGAGAGACAGAGCGAGAUCUUGCAUCUGCUGGCUCACUCCCCAGAUGGCUGCAAUGGCCAGGGCCGGGCCAGGCGGAAGCCGGGAGCCCCAUCCAGGACCGGGCGGAACCAGCAGGGCACCCCAGUGCCGGCCCCUCUAGAGCCAUAAGUUGAGGGCUUUCCUCUUGGUUUGAUUGGAUUCCCCGAAAUCCAGGACACCGGCAGGAUUUCCUGCCUGGGAGGUGACAGACACAGCGCUGGUAUUGCAGGGGACAGAUGCGGGCAGCAGCCCCGCUCUCCACGCUCAGCAGCCACAUGUGGCCUCCUGGGCCUGGGGCCUCUGCAGGGUCUGCCAGGGUGGAGAGCGGGCAGGGACCCAGCGGCUCGAGGUCGGGCCGCCUCCCUCCCUCCUCAGCCUCCCCGUAGAUGGGCUCCGGACAGCGUCUUCCGGGGGCCCACCCAGGUCCUGGUCCUGCCGGCUCUGCCACGUCAGAGGCCACGUGGCCGUCUGCUCCCCCGAGCCGUGGGGAGGGCGGGGCGGGGCGGAGUCAGACGCCGCCCCAUCUGUGCUGCGUCCAGGGCGGCCCGGGAGCUGACCGCUCGCUCCUGUCUCACAGUUCUCCAGCCUCCGCGAGGACAAGAAACACCUGGAGCUGAUGGGGCUCACCGAGAGGGACAACCUCCUGCUCCGACAGAGCUGGAGGCCAAGGUCGGCGAGCUGCAGGCGCAGGUGGACCUGGGCCAGAACCACCUGCACAGGCAGAAG